UACGUAGGGUGCGAGCGUUGUCCGGAAUUAUUGGGCGUAAAGGGCUCGUAGGCGGUUUGUCGCGUCGGGAGUGAAAACCAGGUGCUUAACACCUGGCUUGCUUUCGAUACGGGCAGACUAGAGGUAUGCAGGGGAGAACGGAAUUCCUGGUGUAGCGGUGAAAUGCGCAGAUAUCAGGAGGAACACCGGUGGCGAAGGCGAGUCCCUGGACAACACCUGACACUGAGGCACGAAAGCUAGGGGAGCAAACAGG
rnacentral:rRNA from 1 species